GCGCGUCAGCCGCUACUGGUGGAUUCUACUUUACCACUGUUACCUCUGUCAUUGCCAAGAAAGACAGGGUUACCUGGUGACGGCUCCCUCAGUUUUUCGAGCAGGCCUGAAGGGGGUGGUCAGUGUCACAAUUUUUAAUCCAGUGAAGGAAACGAAUGUCCAGGUCCAGCUCGUCACCAAAGGGGCAGUCGUCGCUCAUGGUCAUGGCUCUGUCUUUGAAAAAGGGACAGUCACAUUAAAGGUACCUCCAGGGGUCAGUGGACAGGCGCACUUAAAGGUUUGGGGCAAUCGAUAUCUCGUUGACAAUGGAUACAUCUUCCAUAAUUUCACAACUGUUACCAUUGACUCCAAGGGAUCUUCAGUAUUCAUUCAGACAGACAAACCAGUCUACAAACCCAAAC